AAAUAAUUUAGCAUUUAGUAAUAUUCUAAUUUAGAAAAGUUAGAUUUUUGAUUAUUCAACAUCUAUAUCUAUAUCUAUACUAUAUAUAAAAGUAUAUAAGAAUUUCGACAGAUGGAAUCCAAAAAGGAAUAAACAAAUAUUUUAGUUUGUUAAAAAAUAUUCAAAUAAAAAUGAAUGAUUAUGAUUAAUAUGUUAAAAAAUAGCAUUCUUAUCUAUCAAUAUGUCAAAUCUUACGAAUGGUUAUAAUUAAUUUGUUAAAAUAUAUUUCAAAUAAAAAUUAUUUGUUGUGAUCAAUCUAUUAAAAGAAAGUAUUCCUAUCAAUAGAUUUUACAUUAAAAUUAAAAAUAUGAGUUUAAAUCAUGAAUUGAAUUUAAUUUUGGAUAUCAAAUUUGUAUUAACAAUUAAAAAAUUUUAAUUAUAGUGGAUCAAAAUUAAAUUUUAAAAAAUUAAAUUUAUAAAUUUUCGAUAUCAAAUUUGAAUUAACAAUUAAAAUAUUUAAUUACAAUGAACUAAAAUUAAAUUUCAAAGUAAAUGUGAAUUAAAUUUUGACGCUUUUAGUUUAAAUAAUAAACAAAAAUUUUAAAUUUAUCAAGAAUUCAAAAAAUAUAUAAAAAUAUUCAAUGUAUAUAUUGAAAAAAUUAUCUAAUAAAAUAUAAUAUAUUCAUUUAUAAAAUAUAAUUUUUAUUAUAAAUUUUUGAAUAAAUAUGAUGUAAAAAUUUAUAUUUACAAUAAAUUAAAAUAAUUUUAAAU
rnacentral:lncRNA from 1 species